GUCGCAAUUUCAGUUUGGGUUGUUCUCUUGUCCUUUCUGUCUUGAUGUGGAUAUGCCGGUGAUGGACUGGACUGGACCAGAAAAGCCACGAAUUAUGGACAGUGAGCCUAAUGUCAGUGGAGGAUGUGGCCGUCGUGUUGACCCUGCAGACACCCACUUCCAUAUUCCAAAACGGAGGGACCCCAAUCAGUAUGGAGUGUCAUUACGCAAAAAUGCUACCUUGAACGUCUAUUGAUGUCAAUGGCUUCGUGGUCGCGAGCAUCAGAACUUUGUCUAUUCCUGUACGAGAACAAUCACUCCCAAUUGAGUGGUGGACGGUUUCACCACCAGUUCCAUUGCUGAAAACGCUCACUUCUGUCUUGAGUGUUUUGGCCGAUGGGUGAAUCACACGGCCGUGCAAUACCGCGACUGGCGUUUACACACACUGACUGAGCUGCACGGAAGGGCUCAACAACAAAAAUAAAAACACCCUAAGUGAUUCAGAGUAUAUGUUGGCCUGGCAGUUUCUCUAAACCUCUGUCACUAUCUUUCUGUCCAUCUAUCUGUCUGUCUGUCGACGUAUUUGACUGAUUAUGUCUAUCUUUGUAUCUGCCUCUAUUAUUGAUACAUCAAGUUGUCAUAUCGAUCUGCCGUUCUUCUGUCAAAACGUUUACCUUUUGCUA